UACGAAGGGACCUAGCGUAGUUCGGAAUUACUGGGCUUAAAGAGUACGUAGGUGGUUAAAAAAGUUGGUGGUGAAAUCCCAAGGCUUAACCUUGGAACUGCCAUCAAAACUUUUUAACUAGAGUAUGAUAGAGGUAAGUGGAAUUUCUAGUGUAGAGGUGAAAUUCGUAGAUAUUAGAAAGAACUCCGAUUGCGAAGGCAGCUUUCUGGAUCAUUACUGACACUGAGGUACGAAAGCAUGGGUAGCGAAGAGG
rnacentral:rRNA from 1 species